UUGAAUAAAACUGACCUAAGACAGCAGGGGAGCUAGACUCAUAAGAUUCCUGCCGAGGCACAAAACGUCAAUUUUAAACGUAUUGUACUUUCGUGUCUGGGUUUGGGUGCGAUUUUUUUUAUU
rnacentral:sRNA from 1 species